CCCUGGGUGGCCAUUUUAAGGAGUCAUUUGAUGUGCACGUGUGUAUACCAUAUAUACAUUUAUGAAUGUCAUGGUUUCAGAACAGAAGCAAAGAGAAACCAGAAUGAAAUCAAGAAGAACUAUGAGGAAAUAUCACUUAAAGAUCCAGUGGAAUAUGGCACUUUCCAGCCUUUUUAGUGUUACACAGAUACCUGACUUAAUCAGUAAUGCCCCCAGAUUUGCUUCUCCACAUCACUUGGCUGCCCUCACCUUACCUUUGCAAACAAGCCGGGCCAGAAGGGCUCAACAUUCACACCCGCUGCUUUAAGGAGGGCAUUGAUCUUAUCCUCCUAAAAAAACAGCAAACCAAAGUGUAGUUUUCGUAAACGUCUCCAAAACACUGCAAACGAAAGUCACUGAAAACGUGUGUCCAAAACCGUGUUUAACCGUUUCACAGAUUCUACCUAUAUUUCAUGUGCGCUUAUUUAAAACUGACCCUUUCUUACGCUCUUACCAUCACCAAGAGCAAACGGAACGCACCCGGCUCCCGUGUGCCCGGCCCCUCGCAAGGCGGAGCAUCACUGCCAUUUCGCAGGCGGGGACUUGCCCAAGCCAAGCCGCUAUAUUAAGUUGCGAGUCAGGGGCGGAGGUAGAGCAAGCUAACCUGCUCUCCACAUCCCGCAGCCUGGCCCAACAAGGCCUAGUAAGAGGAGCGCAGGAAUUCAAGGCCACCAAACAGGGAGUGUCCCGGGUGCGGUUAGGAUCCCCACACGCCGCGGAAGUUUCGCUGAAGCAAAACCCAAAGCCGCCGCGCGCAGCCGGGCUGUACUCCAGUCCCCCAGGAAGCUGGAGCACGUGGGCCCGCCGGCCGCUGGGCCCCUCUCCCCCGCCUCCGCCGGGGAUGUUGCUGGCGCGGGUCUGGCCCGCACUCACCGUGACCGUCACCUCAUCGUCGUGCAAGAUGAGGGCCGAGUAGAUGCAGGCGAGCUCCGAGACCGAGGCCAUGGUGCUGGCGAGUGCUGAGCGGACGUUGCCGGCGCGGUGCUAGUCGCCGGGAGAAGUGAGGGCCUCACCCCAACACGGCCUUAGCUUGCUCGGAAGGACCGAGCAUCUUAGCGGCAGCUGAGGAAAAGGACAUUCUGCGCUUGCGCAGCCUUUUUUUUUUUUUUUCUUUUUUUUAAAGAUUUUUAUUUAUUUGACAGGGAUCACAAGUAGGCGGAGAGGCAGGCAGAGAGAGAGGGCCGGGAAGCAGGCUCCCCGCUGAGCAGAGAGCGCGACGAGGGUCUCGAUACCGGGACCUCGAGAUCAUGGCCCGAGCAGGAAAUGCUUUAACCCACCGAGCCAACCAGGUGCUGCCAAUGCGCCUCUUAUAUGGAUCACGGGCCAAUCGGUGCCUGGGCCUGGCGGAAGAGGCGGGGCGAGAACAGCCCGCCCGGAGCACUGUUGGUGCCCGAGCAUAAAGCGCGACUCGUUCGUUAGCGAGUUCAAAAAAUUGGUGGUUCCUGAAACUGUAAAUUCUUUGGGUUCGGCUAAAACUCAGGGCUCGUGAACAGUAAAAAUACGUUUAGGAAAAAGAUAUCUAGGUAAAUGGAUUUCACCCCCCUCUACCGUGUGACACUAUUUGGACAUGUAAUGACGUCGCCAGCCUCCUAGAGCUGUGCCUACCUGGAGCGCAGGAGCUAAACGUCAGCUUGGAGGCUUCUGGUGCGUAGCGCGGCGUCUCCGGUGGAUUAAGCGGUGGGGGAGGAAACGAGAAGCUUGCCGCGCGACGGUAGCAGUGCCGUUGGAGCGCCCACUGUGUCCCGGGCGCUGAGUCACACUACAAGGAUUCGUUUAAUCCUCACACAGCAGAAGGGGUAAGCACUGUUACUCCACGUAUAAAAGAUCUAUUGGGAAUGGAGGGGAACUUUCCAAAUCCGUUUCAGUUGUUGUAACUAAGGCACUCCGUGUUUGGGUGGAAGUGUCCUGAAACUGCCCUUAAGAUGUUCAAGACUUUGUGAAGCAACUGCUGUCUAGGGGCUGCAUUGCCAUUUUGUAUCUUUUGAAGCUUAAUAAAAAUUGGUAUUGGAUUCAUA